rnacentral:rRNA from 1 species
AUACGGAGGAUGCAAGCGUUAUCCGGAUUUAUUGGGUUUAGAGGGUGCGCAGGCGGAAAAUUAAGUCAGUGGUGAAAUCCUACAGCUUAACUGUAGAACUGCCAUUGAUACUGUUGUUCUUGAGUACAUUUGAGGUAGGCGGAAUGUAUCAUGUAGCGGUGAAAUGCAUAGAUAUGAUACAGAACACCGAUAGCGAAGGCAGCUUACCAAACUGUAACUGACGCUCAGGCACGAAAGCGUGGGGAGCAAACAGGAUUAGAUACCCCAGUAGUCC